rnacentral:rRNA from 1 species
AAGAUCCUGGCUCAGAUUGAACGCUGGCGGCAGGCCUAACACAUGCAAGUCGAGCGGAUGAAGAGAGCUUGCUCUCUGAUUCAGCGGCGGACGGGUGAGUAAUGCCUAGGAAUCUGCCUGAUAGUGGGGGACAACGUUUCGAAAGGAACGCUAAUACCGCAUACGUCCUACGGGAGAAAGCAGGGGACCUUCGGGCCUUGCGCUAUCAGAUGAGCCUAGGUCGGAUUAGCUAGUUGG